UACGGAGGAUCCAAGCGUUAUCCGGAAUCAUUGGGUUUAAAGGGUCCGUAGGCGGUUUAAUAAGUCAGUGGUGAAAGCCCAUCGCUCAACGGUGGAACGGCCAUUGAUACUGUUAGACUUGAAUUAUUAGGAAGUAACUAGAAUAUGUAGUGUAGCGGUGAAAUGCUUAGAGAUUACAUGGAAUACCAAUUGCGAAGGCAGGUUACUACUAAUGGAUUGACGCUGAUGGACGAAAGCGUGGGUAGCGAACAUGG
rnacentral:rRNA from 1 species